CCUACGGGUGGCAGCAGUGAGGAAUAUUGGUCAAUGGACGCAAGUCUGAACCAGCCAUGCCGCGUGCAGGAAGACGGCUCUAUGAGUUGUAAACCUCUUUUGUACGAGGGCAAAUCCCGAUACGUGUAUCGGUCUGAAAGUAUCGUACGAAUAAGGAUCGGCUAACUCCGUGCCAGCAGCCGCGGUAAUACGGAGGAUUCAAGCGUUAUCCGGAUUUAUUGGGUUUAAAGGGUGCGUAGGCGGUUCGAUAAGUUAGAGGUGAAAUCCCGGGGCUCAACUCCGGCACUGCCUCUGAUACUGGCGGGCUAGAGUGUAGUUGAGGUAGGCGGAAUGUAUGGUGUAGCGGUGAAAUGCAUAGAGAUCAUGCAGAACACCGAUUGCGAAGGCAGCUUACCGGCGUACGACUGACGUUGAGGCACGAAAGUGUGGGGAGCGAACAGGAUUAGAUACCCGAGUAGUC
rnacentral:rRNA from 1 species